CGAGGCGGGCGUAGCAAUACGUCAGCGGCAGACGGGUGAGUAACGCGUGGGAACGUACCUUUUGGUUCGGAACAACACAGGGAAACUUGUGCUAAUACCGGAUAAGCCCUUACGGGGGAAAGAUUUAUCGCCGAAAGAUCGGCCCGCGUCUGAUUAGCUAGUUGGUGAGGUAACGGCUCACCAAGGCGACGAUCAGUAGCUGGUCUGAGAGGAUGAUCAGCCACAUUGGGACUGAGACACGGCCCAAACUCCUACGGGAGGCAGCAGUGGGGAAUAUUGGACAAUGGGCGCAAGCCUGAUCCAGCCAUGCCGCGUGAGUGAUGAAGGCCCUAGGGUUGUAAAGCUCUUUUGUGCGGGAAGAUAAUGACGGUACCGCAAGAAUAAGCCCCGGCUAACUUCGUG
rnacentral:rRNA from 1 species